GCAGUUUUCUCCACGCGCCGGAGAGAAGGACAAUACAUUGCCAACCCACUGGGUCUAACCACAAGGCUUCCUUUGGCUGAGAAGUAUGAAUGAAGCAAUCAAAUAACCCCUGUAGACCCUCAGUUUCUGGGGGUUAUGCUGUUAGGCAGUCCCCAAGUUGGGAUUAGCCAGCAUGACCAAUAGGAUAUAGCUUAAGUGAUACUGUAUGAUUUCAGACAAUAUAAUAAAGACCUUCUAGUUCCUCUUUAGGUUCUAAGAAUCUUGGAGAGCCAUCUACUCGAGUACAGGGAGGACGUUAAAGCAACCGUACACAGAUACAUACAUGGAGAGCAGCUAGUGGCCUGGACAGUGGCUGAUGCCAACAGAAGUCAUAUGGCUGAGCCAUCUUGGAAGGUGAUCCUCCAGCUAUAGGGAGGCUUUGGAUGAUGCAGCAUCAACUCAGUCUCAUGAGAGGACCUUGAACCAGAGCAGUACAGUCUGAAUUCACAACCUGCAGGAACUGGGGGAUAAUACGGGAAUGAUCUGUCAUAUGGUAAUGGGUAGCUAACACAGUCAUAGACUAUAUGGGGACAUUAUGAGCAUGUGGGAAGCUAAGGACGCCUUAAGAGAGUGUAUGAAGCCCUGCACAGCCAUGUCAAGGACCCAUUGCUUCAGAUAUGUGAAAAUGGCAAAGCCUUCUUCUGGUCUGAAUGGGAGUAUUGGCAGUGUGUGCAAAAAGUAGCAAACAGCUUCUUUCACCCGGAUGACUACAUUCUGAGACUUCUCACUUACAGAGACUCUUUCAGAUAUUGUAAGACCCCCCCCCCCGUGCUGUAGAUAAUAAAAUUGCUGAAGUUUCCAGUU
rnacentral:lncRNA from 1 species